rnacentral:piRNA from 1 species
UGUUCUGUUAUUCAGUUGUUC